rnacentral:rRNA from 1 species
AUUGAACGCUGGCGGCAGGCUUAACACAUGCAAGUCGAACGAGUGGCGGACGGGUGAGUAAUGCUUGGGAAUCUAGCUUAUGGAGGGGGAUAACUACGGGAAACUGUAGCUAAUACCGCGUACCAUAGGAUGAGCCCAAGUGGGAUUAGGUAGUUGGUGAGGUAAAGGCUCACCAAGCCGACGAUCUCUAGCUGGUCUGAGAGGAUGACCAGCAAACCUGGGAUUGGGCAACGGCCCAAACUCCGACGGGAGGCAGCAGUGGGGAAUAUUGCGCAAUGGGGGCAACCUGACGCAGCCAUGCCGCGGGAAUGAAGAAGGCCUUCGGUUUGUAAAGUUCUUUCGGUAGCGAGGCGUUAACUACAGAAGAAGCACCGGCUAACUCCGUGCCAGCAGCCGCGUAAUAC